UACGUAGGGUGCAAGCGUUGUCCGGAAUUAUUGGGCGUAAAGAGCUCGUAGGCGGUCUGUCGCGUCGCUGUGAAAUUUCGAGGCUCAACCUCGAAACGCCACUCGAUACUGCCAUGACUGGAGUCCGGUAGAGGAGUGCGGAAUUCCUGGUGUAGCGGUGAAAUGCGCAGAUAUCAGGAGGAACACCAACGGCGAAGGCAGCACUCUGGGCCGGUACUGACGCUGAGGAGCGAAAGCGUGGGGAGCAAACAGG
rnacentral:rRNA from 1 species